AAAUAUUUUUAGCUCACCUGAGCCGAAGGCUCAAGUGAGCUUUUCUGAUCACAUUUUGUCCGUCGUCCGUCCGUCCGUCUGUCUGUCUGUCCGUCCGUCCGUCUGUCCGUGUUUACGAGAGUGCAUUUAUUGGGUAUUUUUCAUGCCAAGAUUGUACUUAUUGGGUACUUUUUGCUUAUUGGGUAUACCCAAUAAGAAGUGUCGCUGAAUAUGCUUAAAACACCCUAAUUGGGUAUUUGCAGGUUAGUACCCAACAAAACUUGGACACGACGAUUUGUCCAAAAAAGUGUCCAAAAAAGUUGCUUUCACGGACGCACCGUGUUUUGUUGUUUCAGUUUUACAUUCGGAACUCUAAAUUUUCGAGAGUUCCGAAAAUCAACUUCCGUUGAUCCUGAUCAUAACAACGUUUGUUUUCAUGGGAAAAAAAUAUGGCGACUAAGAAACACUUAAUGUCAACAAGAUUUUCUGAUUGACAAGAGAAAAGGUUAAACAGGAACUUCAAUUGUAAACAUUGCAGAGAACACACCCAUGAGAAGAUGACCCUCAGAAAUAGGACAAUUAAUGAAUAAAAUGGACAGAGGCGGAACUGAAGGAGAUGCAUGAAAUGAGGAAUAUUUCACAGAUUGCCUGAGCAUAGCCACUGCUACUGGAUAAACAUAUGGCAAUAUAAAAGAGCAGGGUCAAUGAAGGUAUCAUACAGUAUAGGCCAUGAGAGACCCUGAAGAAGAAAGUAUUGAACAGAAACAAAAAAAAAAUAAAACCAUUUUGACAUUUAUUGAAAUAUAGGAUCAAAGUCUUACAUGUAAAAUUUGGGCAUGUAAUGACUUUUCUCUAGCUCUAAGACUUAUAACAGUGAUGAUUUAAUUUAAUAUCUUUAUCCCGAUUUGUCGAAAAGAUUAGGACAUAGUGCAUCAAUUAUUUUAAAGUUUUGAUACAACGAAUUCAUUCAUUGUACUUGUAACUGAGUUUUCUGGUGCGACACUGUUUUAUCGGCUUCAAAACUAAGUUUGUUAUUUCCAAACCAGAUUAAUGAGAUCAUGUAAUAUCUUUUAACAUCGGUGACUAUUUAAUCCAUUCUUUUACAUCUCAGAAGUAUUUUUAUUAUUACAGGGAAAAUAUGCAUUGUACAUGUAUCUGUAAUAAACAGGAUUAUAGAAA